rnacentral:rRNA from 1 species
AUGCAAGUCGAACGAUGAAGCCCUUCGGGGUGGAUUAGUGGCGAACGGGUGAGUAACACGUGGGCAAUCUGCCCUGCACUCUGGGACAAGCCCUGGAAACGGGGUCUAAUACCGGAUAUCACUCUUGCAGGCAUCUGUGAGGGUCGAAAGCUCCGGCGGUGCAGGAUGAGCCCGCGGCCUAUCAGCUUGUUGGUGAGGUAAUGGCUCACCAAGGCGACGACGGGUAGCCGGCCUGAGAGGGCGACCGGCCACACUGGGACUGAGACACGGCCCAGACUCCUACGGGAGGCAGCAGUGGGGAAUAUUGCACAAUGGGCGAAAGCCUGAUGCAGCGACGCCGCGUGAGGGAUGACGGCCUUCGGGUUGUAAACCUCUUUCAGCAGGGAAGAAGCGAAAGUGACGGUACCUGCAGAAGAAGCGCCGGCUAACUACGUGCCAGCAGCCGCGGUAAUACGUAGGGCGCAAGCGUUGUCCGGAAUUAUUGGGCGUAAAGAGCUCGUAGGCGGCUUGUCACGUCGGGUGUGAAAGCCCGGGGCUUAACCCCGGGUCUGCAUUCGAUACGGGCUAGCUAGAGUGUGGUAGGGGAGAUCGGAAUUCCUGGUGUAGCGGUGAAAUGCGCAGAUAUCAGGAGGAACACCGGUGGCGAAGGCGGAUCUCUGGGCCAUUACUGACGCUGAGGAGCGAAAGCGUGGGGAGCGAACAGGAUUAGAUACCCUGGUAGUCCACGCCGUAAACGGUGGGAACUAGGUGUUGGCGACAUUCCACGUCGUCGGUGCC